AAGAAAGACCUGGUAGAAGAUCAUAACCCAGGGGGCGUCAGAGAAAGCAGAGGAAGCAAUUGCUGUGGAAGCAGUAGCCACAACAUCUCCAUAAGGCAAAAGAGAGAGAUGAUAUCAUUAACUCUGAUGUUCCAGCAGGGCUUGCACCUCGUUUCCUCUCCAGCCCUCCUUAAUGCUGUAGAUGGUACACAAAAGGUUAUACUCAGCACAUGGUUGUUGACUUAAUGACUUACAGAAGGAAAGCCUUGUUCUGUGAAACAUCUCAAAGAAGAGAAAAACCUCAUGAAAGGAAAGGAUAUUUUGGAGACCUUGGAAGGACUCAACAUAAGGAGAGAGGGAUGGAAGUAUAUAUGUGGUGUGAUAUUUCCAAAGGCUCCUCCUUUCAGGCAUCUGUGGCUGACUCAACUGUUAAAUGUUUAGAUCCAGAGACUCUUAUAUUCUUUUUACUUUGUAAAGGGCUCUUCAUGGUAGAGGAGUAUUAAUUAGAGAGGAAAGUGAGUGCCAGCAUAGUAGGAAAAAUAGAAUACUCGCAGCCCAGAGAGCAUGGCUUCUGCUCUAGCCCCAGUGGGGGCAAGAAUCUUUGAAAGACUGGGAUGAUAUUAAGCAAAUACGUGCAUGAUUGUGCACGUGUAUAACCAAUAUUUAGUUUAAUGACAAGAUAACUCAAUCUGGGAUUUGCCACUCAUCAAGCUUUAAGGCAAUUCUUUUAUUCAACUCCUCCCUACUCUUCAAACUUAGCAAUAAAAAAACAAACAACAAAAAGUACAGGAGAGCUGAGCUUUACACAGACUACAGCUUUACCAAGUUCUGAACUCAGAAAAUGCCUGGGAGGUAUUAGAAAGGGCAGUUAAUUGGUUGGCUCCUGAA